GUUCCCGGUGAUUUCCCCCUGGAGACCGGGGAGAGACGCCCCUACGUAUGCCGAAGGGUCAGAUCCCACCGCCACGGACCCAAGACUAUCAUAAAAACAGAGGAGCAGGAAAUGUGUCAGAGGAAGCCUAAGAAGAAUCUGUUCAGCAGUGCCCUGAGACGACAUGUAGACUCUGAUCAGCACCAGACACACAUCAAGAGGACUGUACACAGAGGAUGCCACACAGAUGACACAGUGAACUCAGAGAGCAGCCCCAUGUCUGAUUCUACAGGGGACCAUGACAAUGGUAAG